GAUGAACGCUGACAGAAUGCUUAACACAUGCAAGUCUAUUCGAGCCUUCGGGCAAGGAUGGCGGACGGGUGAGUAACGCGUAAAGAACUUGCCCUGCAGUUUGGGACAACAUUCGGAAACGGAUGCUAAUACCGGAUAUUAUGCUCUGGUCGCAUGGCCAGUGUAUGAAAGCUAUAUGCGCUGCAGGAGAGCUUUGCGUCCUAUUAGCUUGUUGGUGAGGUAACGGCUCACCAAGGCUGUGAUAGGUAGCCGGCCUGAGAGGGUGAACGGCCACAAGGGGACUGAGACACGGCCCUUACUCCUACGGGAGGCAGCAGUGGGGAAUAUUGGACAAUGGACCAAAAGUCUGAUCCAGCAAUUCUGUGUGCACGAUGAAGUUUUUCGGAAUGUAAAGUGCUUUCAGUUGGGACGAAGAACGUGACGGUACCAACAGAAGAAGCGACGGCUAAAUACGUGCCAGCAGCCGCGGUAAUACGUAUGUCGCAAGCGUUAUCCGGAUUUAUUGGGCGUAAAGCGCGUCUAGGCGGUUUGGUAAGUCUGAUGUGAAAAUGCGGGGCUCAACCCCGUAUUGCGUUGGAAACUGCUGAACUAGAGUACUGGAGAGGUGGGCGGAACUACAAGUGUAGAGGUGAAAUUCGUAGAUAUUUGUAGGAAUGCCGAUGGAGAAGUCAGCCCACUGGACAGAUACUGACGCUGAAGCGCGAAAGCGUGGGUAGCAAACAGG
rnacentral:rRNA from 1 species